rnacentral:rRNA from 1 species
AAUGAACGCUGGCGGCAGGCCUAACACAUGCAAGUCGAACGGAUCCUUCGGGAUUAGUGGCGGACGGGUGAGUAACGCGUGGGAACAUACCCUUUGGUACGGAAUAGCCUCGGGAAACUGGGAGUAAUACCGUAUGUGGUCGAGAGACGAAAGAUUUAUCGCCAAAGGAUUGGCCCGAGUUGGAUUAGGUAGUUGGUGGGGUAAUGGCCUACCAAGCCGACGAUCCAUAGCUGGUUUGAGAGGAUGAUCAGCCACACUGGGACUGAGACACGGCCCAGACGCCUACGGGAGGCAGCAGUGGGGAAUCUUAGACAAUGGGGGAAACCCUGAUCUAGCCAUGCCGCGUGAUCGAUGAAGGCCUUAGGGUUGUAAAGAUCUUUCAGGUGGGAAGAUAAUGACUGUACCACCAGAAGAAGCCCCGGCUAACUCCGUGCCAGCAGCCGCCGUAAGAC